AAAAAAACCAACCCAGAUUUUCAUAGAUUGUUUGCUUAAAUUCAGGUGGAUCCACCAACAUGUUUCUGCCUGUGAGGAAUUUGCAGCUUGUUAAGGGUAAAAGUACAACGGGUGACACAAAACCCUUUGUGUUCCUGGACCUUCUUUGUCACUGCCAAAGCAGAAGCUGGUUCAGAAUGGCAGCAGACUCUAGGUCAAGAAUGGACUCCGCCGAGCCCCUGGCUGUGGCGGAGAGCUUACUGCCUCCCAGUGGAGCCCACGCUCUGGUCACUGGGGAGAACUCUGUACCGAGCCCAGCACAUGGCUAGUAGCUGCCACCAUCUGUGGAGGCCCCCGUAGGAUCACCAUCUGCUGCUGCAAGACGGCUCCCUCUGGAGUGGAGAAGAAGUUCCCAUGACUCAGGUCCCCCUGAAGCCUCUGUCCUGAGCACGGCUGGGCCCUUGGCUUCCUGUCCCCUCCUGGUUUCCUUGGGACGGUGGAGCUCCCAGUUCUCCAGGUAGAACAUACUUUUUCUUCCCUUGUUCUGGGUGACGGUCCCCUGGAACCUGCUAGAGCUGUCCCUCCCCUUGCUGUGCC
rnacentral:lncRNA from 1 species